rnacentral:rRNA from 1 species
GACGUAGGUGGCAAGCGUUGUUCGGAAUCACUGGGCAUAAAGCGCACGUAGGCGGUUGAGUAAGUCGGAUGUGAAAUACCUCGGCUCAACCGAGGAACUGCGUCCGAUACUGCUCGGCUUGAGGUCCGGAGGGGAGAGUGGAAUUCCCGGUGGAGCGGUGAAAUGCGUAGAGAUCGGGAAGAACGCCGGCGGCGAAAGCGACUCUCUGGUCGGAAUCUGACGCUGAGGUGCGAAAGCUAGGGGAGCAAACGGG